UACGUAGGGUGCGAGCGUUGUCCGGAAUUAUUGGGCGUAAAGAGCUCGUAGGCGGUGUGUCACGUCGGCCGUGAAAACCUGCAGCUUAACUGUGGGCAUGCGGUCGAUACCGGCAUCACUGGAGUUCGGCAGGGGAGACUGGAAUUCCUGGUGUAGCGGUGAAAUGCGCAGAUAUCAGGAGGAACACCGGUGGCGAAGGCGGGUCUCUGGGCCGAUACUGACGCUGAGGAGCGAAAGCGUGGGGAGCAAACAGG
rnacentral:rRNA from 1 species